rnacentral:rRNA from 1 species
UGAGGAAUAUUGGGCAAUGGGCGAAAGCCUGACCCAGCAACGCCGCGUGGAGGAUGAAUGUCGUAAGAUUGUAAACUCCUUUAGGGUGGGACGAAAAACCAUUGGGAAUUGACUGUACCACCAGAAUAAGCCCCGGCUAACUACGUGCCAGCAGCCGCGGUAAUACGUAGGGGGCAAGCGUUGUCCGGAUUUACUGGGUGUAAAGGGCGCGUAGGCGGGCUUGUAAGUCAGAGGUGAAAUCCUGCGGCUCAACCGUAGAACUGCCUUUGAAACUACAAGUCUUGAGUUCGGAAGAGAGAGAUGGAAUUCCAGGUGUAGUGGUGAAAUACGUAGAUAUCUGGAAGAACACCAGUGGCGAAGGCGAUCUCUUGGUCCGUAACUGACGCUGAGGCGCGAAAGCGUGGGGAGCGAACAGGAUUAGAUACCCCUGUAGUCC